rnacentral:rRNA from 1 species
GGGUCACUUAGUGCUGUCUGCAGAAACUCCGAGGGCAUGUUUUCGGGAGUUUCAUGCUUGAAGUACAGAGGGAUGAACGAUCCCGCUACUCUGGAGGCAUUGGCUUGCCGUGAAGCCUUGGCGCUGGCAGUAGAUCUCCAAUUGGCUAGAGUGGUGAUUUCAUCUGACUGCCAAGGUGUAGUACGAUAUAUUCAGAACCAAACGGGAGGUAUGUAUGCACCGAUAGUAAAGGAGAUCAAUGAGACAGCUACAAACUUCCAGCGGUGCUCCUUCAUCUUUGAAGGAUGAGAGUCUAAUGUCGAGGCACACUGUCGGGGGGAUGAACCCCGGGCAGGCAAUGGAACCCGGAUCCCUUUCAAAAACAACGGGGCCAGCAUCGCCCCUCAAGUCGGCCCGCGCUUGGCCAGGUCGCUCAACCCGGCCAAGCCCCUCGACCCAGCCGAACUCUCCGACCUGGCCAGACUCCUCGACUCGGCCCUAACCACCAGCUCAAGGCGGCCGAACCCAGCACACCAAGACUUCCCCAACAAGCCAGCUCCACCCUUGGCGUGUUCCCCAACCCAGCCACGGGUCAGCUCCCGUCCCAUCUAG